GCUUACGGCCAUACCACCCUGAACACCCCCGAUCGAAGCUAAGCAGGGUCGGGCCUUGUGAGUACUUGGAUGGGAGACGCCUGGAAUACCAGGUGCUGUAAGCU
rnacentral:rRNA from 1 species